rnacentral:rRNA from 1 species
UACGAAGGGGCUAGCGUUGCUCGGAAUUACUGGGCGUAAAGGGCGCGUAGGCGGCACUGUUAGUCAGGCGUGAAAGUCCUGGGCUCAACCUGGGAACUGCGCUUGAUACGGCAGAGCUAGAGGAUGGAAGAGGCUCGCGGAAUUCCCAGUGUAGAGGUGAAAUUCGUAGAUAUGGGAAGAACACCGGUGGCGAAGGCGGCGAGCUGGUCCAUACUGACGCUGAGGCGCGACAGCGUGGGAGCAAACAGG